AUUGAACGCUGGCGGCAUGCCUUACACAUGCAAGUCGAACGGCAGCGGGCCUUCGGGUGCCGACGAGUGGCGAACGGGUGAGUAAUGUAUCGGAACGUACCUUUCAGUGGGGGAUAACGUAGCGAAAGUUGCGCUAAUACCGCAUAUUCUGUGAGCAGGAAAGCAGGGGAUCGCAAGACCUUGCGCUGAUUGAGCGGCCGAUAUCAGAUUAGCUAGUUGGUGAGGUAAAGGCUCACCAAGGCGACGAUCUGUAGCGGGUCUGAGAGGAUGAUCCGCCACACUGGAGCUGAGACACGGUCCAGACUCCUACGGGAGGCAGCAGUGGGGAAUUUUGGACAAUGGGGGCAACCCUGAUCCAGCCAUGCCGCGUGAGUGAAGAAGGCCUUCGGGUUGUAAAGCUCUUUCGGCCGGGAAGAAAUCGUAUCAGCUAAUACCUGGUGCGGAUGACGGUACCGGCAUAAGAAGCACCGGCUAACUACGUGCCAGCCGCCGCCGUAACAC
rnacentral:rRNA from 1 species